AAACUGGGGACUUGAGUGCAGAAGAGGAGAGUGGAAUUCCACGUGUAGCGGUGAAAUGCGUAGAGAUGUGGAGGAACACCAGUGGCGAAGGCGACUCUCUGGUCUGUAACUGACGCUGAGGAGCGAAAGCGUGGGGAGCGAACAGGAUUAGAUACCCUGGUAGUCCACGCCGUAAACGAUGAGUGCUAAGUGUUAGGGGGUUUCCGCCCCUUAGUGCUGCAGCUAACGCAUUAAGCACUCCGCCUGGGGAGUACGGUCGCAAGACUGAAACUCAAAGGAAUUGACGGGGGCCCGCACAAGCGGUGGAGCAUGUGGUUUAAUUCGAAGCAACGCGAAGAACCUUACCAGGUCUUGACAUCCUCUGACAAUCCUAGAGAUAGGACGUCCCCUUCGGGGGCAGAGUGACAGGUGGUGCAUGGUUGUCGUCAGCUCGUGUCGUGAGAUGUUGGGUUAAGUCCCGCAACGAGCGCAACCCUUGAUCUUAGUUGCCAGCAUUCAGUUGGGCACUUAAGGUGACUGCCGGUGACAAACCGGAGGAAGGUGGGGAUGACGUCAAAUCAUCAUGCCCCUUAUGACCUGGGCUACACACGUGCUACAAUGGACAGAACAAAGGGCAGCGAAACCGCGAGGUUAAGCCAAUCCCACAAAUCUGUUCUCAGUUCGGAUCGCAGUCUGCAACUCGACUGCGUGAAGCUGGAAUCCUAGUAAUCGCGGAUCAGCAUGCGCGGUGAAUACGUUCCCGGGCCUUGUACACCCGCCCGUCACACCACGAGAGUUUGUAACACCCGAAGUCGGUGAGGUAACCUUUAGGAGC
rnacentral:rRNA from 1 species